rnacentral:rRNA from 1 species
GACUACGGCCAUACCACCCUGAAAACGCCCGAUCCCGUCUGAUCUCGGAAGCUAAGCGGGGUCGGGCCCGGUUAGUACUUGGAUGGGAGACCGCCUGGGAAUACCGGGUGCUGUAGCUU